rnacentral:rRNA from 1 species
UACAGAGGGUGCAAGCGUUGUUCGGAAUUAUUGGGCGUAAAGGGAGUGUAGGCGGCUUGUUAAGUCUUCUGUGAAAUCUACGGGCUCAGCCUGUAACGUGCAGAGGAAACUGGCGAGCUUGAGUGUCGGAGAGGAUAGGGGAAUACCCGGUGUAGAGGUGAAAUGCGUAGAGGUCCGGAGGAACACCAGUGGCGAAGGCGACACGCUGGGCCGUACCUGACGCUAAAGCGCGACAGCAUGGGGAGCAAACGGG